rnacentral:rRNA from 1 species
AUCGGAUUACUGGGCGUAAAGCGUGCGUAGGCGGCUGUUUAAGUCAGAUGUGAAAGCCCCGGGCUUAACCUGGGAACUGCAUUUGAUACUGGGCAGCUAGAGUUGAGUAGAGGAAAGGGGAAUUUCAGGUGUAGCGGUGAAAUGCGUAGAGAUCUGAAGGAACACCAGUGGCGAAGGCGCCUUUCUGGACUCAAACUGACGCUGAGGUACGAAAGCGUGGGUAGCAAACAGGAUUAGAUACCCUGGUAGUCCACGCCGUAAACGAUGUCAACUAGCCGUUGGUCUUAUUCGUAAGAUUCGUGGCGCAGCUAACGCGAUAAGUUGACCGCCUGGGGAGUACGGCCGCAAGGUUAAAACUCAAAUGAAUUGACGGGGGCCCGCACAAGCGGUGGAGCAUGUGGUUUAAUUCGAUGCAACGCGAAGAACCUUACCUACCCUUGAC